GACGAACGCUGGCGGCGUGCUUAACACAUGCAAGUCGAACGGAAAGGUCCUGCUUUUGUGGGGUGCUCGAGUGGCGAACGGGUGAGUAACACGUGAGUAACCUGCCCUUGACUUUGGGAUAACUUCACGAAACUGGGGCUAAUACCGGAUAGGAGCUCCUGCUGCAUGGUGGGGGUUGGAAAGUUUCGGCGGUUGGGGAUGGACUCGCGGCUUAUCAGCUUGUUGGUGGGGUAGUGGCUUACCAAGGGUUUGACGGGUAGCCGGCCUGGGAGGGUGACCGGCCACAUGGGGACUGAGAUACGGCCCAGACUCCUACGGGAGGCAGCAGGGGGGAAUAUUGCACAAUGGGCGGAAGCCUGAUGCAGCAACGCCGCGUGCGGGAUGACGGCCUUCGGGUUGUAAACCGCUUUCGCCUGUGACGAAGCGUGAGUGACGGUAAUGGGUAAAGAAGCACCGGCUAACUACGUG
rnacentral:rRNA from 1 species